rnacentral:rRNA from 1 species
AUUGAACGCUGGCGGCAGGCCUAACACAUGCAAGUCGAGCGGAUGAAGGGAGCUUGCUCCUGGAUUCAGCGGCGGACGGGUGAGUAAUGCCUAGGAAUCUGCCUGGUCGUGGGGGAUAACGUCCGGAAACGGGCGCUAAUACCGCAUACGUCCUGAGGGAGAAAGUGGGGGAUCUUCGGACCUCACGCUAUCAGAUGAGCCUAGGUCGGAUUAGCUAGUUGGUGGGGCAAAGGCCUACCAAGGCGACGAUCCGUAACUGGUCUGAGAGGAUGAUCAGUCACACUGGAACUGAGACACGGUCCAGACUCCUACGGGAGGCAGCAGUGGGGAAUAUUGGACAAUGGGCGAAAGCCUGAUCCAGCCAUGCCGCGUGUGUGAAGAAGGUCUUCGGAUUGUAAAGCACUUUAAGUUGGGAGGAAGGGCAGUAAGUUAAUACCUUGCUGUUUUGACGUUACCAACAGAAUAAGCACCGGCUAACUUCGUG